GCGAAAUUAGCUCAGAGGGAGAGCAUGCAGCUGUGAACUGUACGGUCACCGGUUCGAAUCCGGUAUUUCCGCU
rnacentral:tRNA from 1 species